rnacentral:rRNA from 1 species
AACGAACGCUGGCGGCGUGCCUAACACAUGCAAGUCGAGCGAACCCUUUGGGGUGAGCGGCGGACGGGUGAGUAACGCGUGGGUAACCUGCCCUAUACACACGGAUAACGUACCGAAAGGUACGCUAAUACGGGAUAAAGUUGUUGGAUGGCAUCUUCUAACAAUCAAAGCUCCGGCGGUAUAGGAUGGACCCGCGUCUGAUUAGCUAGUUGGUGAGGUAAUGGCUCACCAAGGCGACGAUCAGUAGCCGACCUGAGAGGGUGAUCGGCCACACUGGAACUGAGACACGGUCCAGACUCCUACGGGAGGCAGCAGUGGGGAAUAUUGCACAAUGGGCGAAAGCCUGAUGCAGCAACGCCGCGUGAGCGAUGAAGGUCUUCGGAUCGUAAAGCUCUGUCCUCAAGGAAGAUAAUGACGGUACUUGAGGAGGAAGCCCCGGCUAACUACGUGCCAGCCGCCGCCGUAA